GGAUGGGGUUAGACAGACAGAGGCAGUGGACGGGGAUAGACAGACAGACAGAGGCAGUGGACGGGGAUGGAUGGAGUGCAAGGGGUUUGAGGGCUGGAUAGACAGACAGACAGAGGGGUGGACGGGGGCUGGAUAGACAGACAGACAGAGAGGGGUGGACGGGGUUAGACAGACAGAGGCAGUGGACGGGGAUGGAUGGAGUGCAAGGGGUUUGAGGGCUGGAUAGACAGACAGACAGAGAGGGUGGACGGGGAUGGAUGGAGUGCAAGGGGUUUGAGGGCUGGAUAGACAGACAGACAGAGAGGGGUGGACGGGGUUAGACAGACAGAGGCAGUGGACGGGGACAGACAGACAGACAGAGAGGGGUGCACGGGGUUAGACAGACAGAGGCAGUGGACGGGGAUGGAUGGAGUGCAAGGGGUUUGAGGGCUGGAUAGACAGACAGACAGAGAGGGGUGGACGGGGUUAGACAGACAGAGGCAGUGGACGGGGAUGGAUGGAGUGCAAGGGGUUUGAGGGCUGGAUAGACAGACAGACAGAGAGGGGUGGACGGGGUUAGACAGACAGAGGCAGUGGACGGGGAUGGAUGGAGUGCAAGGGGUUUGAGGGCUGGAGGAAACAGAGAAGAUCUUUUGCUGAACGUGUAGAAGAAAGAAAGAACCAAACUCCUCCCUUUGAGCUCCCAAGAAGUGUGGGACUCAGCAGCCAGCGCCUCCCUUGAGAGUUUGCCUCUUCCCCAACCCCAUAAUCAGGGGCUUUGCCCAGCAGCUGAAGCCAAGGCCGGGCUCUGGGCUGGGCGCCCGCUGGCCCCCUGGCAUGUACUUUGCCUGGGUGGGGCUGCAGCUGGCUCUGAGCUGGGGCAGGGGACGGAAGGGGGGAAGGAGAAGAGGAGAACGGGGAAAUGGAGCAGGGAGGAGGAGGAGGAGGAGGAGGAGAGGAAAAGGGGGAAUGGAGCAGGGAGAAGGAGGAGGAGAGGAAAAGGGGGAAUGGAGCAGGGAGAA